GAUGAACGCUAGCUACAGGCUUAACACAUGCAAGUCGAGGGGUAGCAGGGUAGCAAUACCGCUGACGACCGGCGCACGGGUGAGUAACACGUAUCCAACCUUCCCAUAACUCUGGGAUAGCCUUUCGAAAGAAAGAUUAAUACCGGAUGGUACUUUUUCAAGGCAUCUUGAGAAAGUUAAAGAUUUAUUGGUUAUGGAUGGGGAUGCGUUCCAUUAGAUAGUUGGUGAGGUAACGGCUCACCAAGUCUUCGAUGGAUAGGGGUUCUGAGAGGAAGGUCCCCCACAUUGGUACUGAGACACGGACCAAACUCCUACGGGAGGCAGCAGUGAGGAAUAUUGGUCAAUGGGCGAGAGCUUGAACCAGCCAAGUAGCGUGAAGGAUGAAGGUCCUAUGGAUUGUAAACUUCUUUUAUAGUAGAAUAAAGUGAUCCACGUGUGGAUUUUUGUAUGUAUACUAUGAAUAAGGAUCGGCUAACUCCGUGCCAGCCGCCGCAGUAA
rnacentral:rRNA from 1 species